rnacentral:rRNA from 1 species
UACGUAGGGUGCGAGCGUUAAUCGGAAUUACUGGGCGUAAAGCGUGCGCAGGCGGUGAGCUGUGUCCGAUGUGAAAGCCCCGGGCUUAACCUGGGAAUGGCAUUGGAAACUGGCUCGCUGGAGUGUGGCAGAGGGGGGUGGAAUUCCGCGUGUAGCAGUGAAAUGCGUAGAGAUGCGGAGGAACACCGAUGGCGAAGGCAAUCCCCUGGACCUGUACUGACGCUCAUGCACGAAAGCGUGGGGAGCAAACAGG